rnacentral:rRNA from 1 species
AACGAACGCUGGCGGCAUGCCUAACACAUGCAAGUCGAACGGGAUCCGGACUUCGGUUCGGUGAGAGUGGCGGACGGGUGAGUAACGCGUGGGAACCUGCCCAGUGGUGGGGGAUAACUGCGGGAAACUGCAGCUAAUACCGCAUGAGCUCGAGAGGGGAAAGAUUUAUCGCCAUUGGAGGGGCCCGCGUUCGAUUAGGUAGUUGGUAGGGUAACGGCCCACCAAGCCGACGAUCGAUAGCUGGUCUGAGAGGAUGAUCAGACACACUGGGACUGAGAUACGGCCCAGACUCCUACGGGAGGCAGCAGUGGGGAAUAUUGGACAAUAGGGACAACCCUGAUCCAGCAAUGCCGCGUGAGUGAUGAAGGCCUUCGGGUUGUAAAGCUCUUUUGCCAGGGACGAUGAUGACGGUACCUGGAGAAUAAGCCCCGGCUAACUUCGUGCCAGCAGCCGCGGUAACAC